rnacentral:rRNA from 1 species
UACGUAGGUGGCAAGCGUUAUCCGGAAUUACUGGGCGUAAAGGGCGUGUAGGCGGGAAGACAAGUCUGGAGUGAAAUCCCAGGGCUUAACCCUGGAGCUGCUUCCGAAACUGUUUUUCUUGAGUAUCGGAGAGGAAAGUGGAAUUCCCAGUGUAGUGGUGAAAUGCGUAGAGAUUGGGAGGAACACCAGUGGCGAAGGCGACUUUCUGGACGAUUACUGACGCUGAGGCGCGAAAGCGUGGGGAGCAAACAGG